AGAUGUCUGACAGCUCAGCCGAUUAUGUCAAUACCACUAGUGGUAUUUCUGAACUUGGUCACAAUUCCUUAGAUGAUCUGUCGUUACAUGAAGAUGAGCACUUUGACUUCAGUGUCACGCCGAAAAAAGUUCCCUUGCAGGGUGGUGCAUUGUGUCGUUUCUCAUCUAGUCGAACGUUUCCGAGGAAUGUGCAGUCUGCAUUUGCUAUCUUCGAGAAUCUAGACACUGUUGAAGUUAAGAGGUUUGGCGAAGACUCCCUUAUUGGAGAGAAAAUUCCACCUUCCAAGACGCCAGGAUGGGUCACAAUAUUUUUACAACGAGCAGAUGGUACAAAGCUAGGUGAAACGAAAAUUUGGUACUACGAUGAAGAUAAAGAGGCUCUUCAACGGAUAACUGAAAACCCGAAGUUACAAGCGGA